GGGUCAACUGCUACAUGCCGGCCAAUGGCGAGACGGUGACGCUGCCCACAAGCCCCAGCAUCCCCGUAGGCAUCUCGCUGGGGCUGCUGAAGCGGGAGAUGGCGCAGGGUAUGCGGGCUGGGCAGGGCAGGGCAGGGUGCUCGGGGCAGGCGGCUGGGAGCGGCCCUCACAUUGAUGGCUCCUGCCACCUCCUCCGCAGGGCUGCUCCCUGAGGCCAAGAAGCCUCGGCUCCUGCACGGCACCCUGAUCAUGAAGGACAGCGUGAGUGCCAGGACGGUCUCUGGAGGGGGGAGGGCCGCUGCUGCGCUCACUGACCUGUCCCUGCCCCACAGAACUUCCGGCUGGUGUCCUCAGAGCAAGCCCUCAAAGAGCUGGGUCUGGCUGAGCACCAGCUGCGCUUCACCUGCCGCGUGCACCUGCAUGACACACGCAAGGAGCAGGAGACGGCAUUGCGCGUCUACAGCCACCUCAAGAGCGUCCUGAAGGACCACUGUGUGCAGCACCUCCCAGACGGCUCUGUGACUGUGGAGUCCGUCCUCCUCCAGGCCGCCGCCCCUUCUGAGGACCCAGGCACCAAGGUGCUGCUGGUCUCCUGGACCUACCAGGACGAGGAGCUGGGGAGCUUCCUCACAUCUCUGCUGAAGAAGGGCCUCCCCCAGGCCCCCAGCUGAGGCCGGCAACUCACCCAGCCGCCACCUCUGCCCUCUCCCAGCUGGACAGACCCUGGGCCUGCACUUCAGGACUGUGGGUGCCCUGGGUGAACAGACCCUGCAGGUCCCAUCCCUGGGGACAGAGGCCUUGUGUCACCUGCCUGCCCAGGCAGCUGUUUGCAGCUGAAGAAACAAACUGGUCUCCAGGCUGUCUUGCCUUUAUUCCUGGUUAGGGCAGGUGGUCCUAGACAGCAGUUUCCAGUAAAAGCUGAACAAAAGACU
rnacentral:lncRNA from 1 species